GGGGAUGUAAAGGUUUCGACGGGGAAGGAAAGCCCUGGUAAGCGAGCAGCGGCGCGGACCGCUAUAAAACCGCAAACCUUAAAAUUAAACGACAACAAUUCUGUUGCUGUUGCUGCUUAAAUAAGCAGCCGUUCUUACCUGGAGUACCGCGGCCGGGCUAAGAGCGCCGAUGAGCGGUGAACGUGAACGAGGGCGCCGCCUUUCGCCCUUGUCAUGACCCAAAAGGCUACUAAAACCCGGAGCCUGCUUUUGGGCGCCGGGCAGAGGGAAUGUUAAAACAAAAGCUACGCUCGUAGAAAGCCUUGGUAAUCUUUUUUCGGACGCGGGUUCGAUUCCCGCCAUCUCCACCA
rnacentral:tmRNA from 1 species